UACGUAGGGACCAAGCGUUGUCCGGAAUCAUUGGGCGUAAAGCGCGCGUAGGUGGCCAUUUAAGUCCGCUGUGAAAGUCAGAGGCUCAACCUUUGAAAGCCGGUGGAUACUGGAUGGCUAAAGUACGGAGGAGGCGAGUGGAAUUCCUGGUGUAGCGGUGGAAUGCGCAGAUAUCAGGAGGAACACCAAUAGCGAAGGCAGCUCGCUGGGACGUUACUGACACUAAGGCGCGAAAGCGUGGGGAGCGAACAGG
rnacentral:rRNA from 1 species